GACGAACGCUGGCGGCGUGCCUAACACAUGCAAGUCGAACGGGAUCCAUGGAGUGCUUGCACUCCGGAAGAUCUAGUGGCGAACGGGUGAGUAACACGUGAGAAACCUGCCCCGGACUCUGGGAUAACUCAAGGAAACUUGAGCUAAUACCGGAUACCCUCCUGCGGUCGCAUGGCUGCUUGAGGAAAGUUUUUCGGUCUGGGAGGGUCUCGCGGCCUAUCAGCUAGUUGGUGAGGUAACGGCUCACCAAGGCGACGACGGGUAGCUGGUUUGAGAGAACGAUCAGCCACACUGGAACUGAGACACGGUCCAGACUCCUACGGGAGGCAGCAGUGGGGAAUCUUGCGCAAUGGGCGAAAGCCUGACGCAGCAACGCCGCGUGCGGGAUGACGGCCUGGUUGUAACCGCGUUCUAGCAGGACGAAGGAUAGACGGUACCUGCAGAAGAAGAC
rnacentral:rRNA from 1 species